rnacentral:rRNA from 1 species
UACAGAGGUCCCAAGCGUUGUUCGGAUUCAUUGGGCGUAAAGGGUGCGUAGGCGGCGCGGUAAGUCGGGUGUGAAAUCUCGGGGCUUAACUCCGAAACUGCAUUCGAUACUGCCGUGCUUGAGGACUGGAGAGGAGACUGGAAUUUACGGUGUAGCGGUGAAAUGCGUAGAUAUCGUAAGGAAGACCAGUGGCGAAGGCGGGUCUGCUGGACAGUUCCUGACGCUGAGGAGCGAAAGCGUGGGGAGCGAACAGG